UUAAAAUGUAAAUAUUUAAAACUUAAGUAGUAUUAGUUAUAUUCUUUAAACUUAAAGAAUUUGGCGGUAUUUUAGUCUUUUCAGAGGAACUUGUCCCGUAAUCGAUAAUCCUCGAUAAUCUUACUUGAUUUUGUGUUCAAUUUGUAUACCGCCGUUAUCAGAAUAUUUUAUAAGAGUUUUAAUUUUCUAAAAUUUUUAUUAAAAAUGAUUUCAGGUCAAGGUGCAGUUUAUAAUUAAGUGGAGAUGAGUUACAAUAAAUUUAUUUAUACGGAUUUUUGAAUAAAAUAUUAAAAUGAAGGUGGAUUUGAAGGUAAAUUAGUUAAUUAAGAUUAAUUGAUUAUAGCUCUAAAAUAUGU
rnacentral:rRNA from 1 species